CUUUCCUUCCAGAACCGCUCCCUUUGCAAAACUCCACUUCAAACAAGAGGAGCACGGGCGGCAGGCUCUGCCCUCCCAGGCCCCGCCCUCUCCGCAGGUGCCCAGCGAGGGUCCUUUGUCUGGAGGGGCCAGGCCCGGGCAGUGUGGGCCCAUCCAAAUAUUAACUGUGGACACUUUCCUACUUUGAAAACACGAGACGCUCUGUACUCAGAGCCCUGCCCUCCAGAGAAUGCAAUCACUUCUGUUUUUCUUUUUUUCUCGAGGACUGAGCUUGACCCUGGCGGUUGCCUAUCUUCACACUGCCCACGGUUUCAGAAAGUCAGUGCUCAGGGCUGCUAGCUGUGGGCGGGCAAUGCUUGCUUGCCCUGCGCUUUGCUGCCCGGCUGCCUGGCGGCAGCGGGAGAUAGGGGAACGCAGGAGGCACCGCCUGAAUUUAUGGAGCACCCACCACAUGCAAAGGCCAGGCUACACGCUGGAAACGAGGCCGCAGUGAUCUCGGACUUCCGCGCACACAUCGAUUACCUGGGGCGUUGCUGUAAUAUCAGCUCCUGGGUUCAAGCGAUGGCUUGAUGCCUACAGAGGACCAAAACCAGCCUCAUUAUUCAUGUUUUGGUUUUUAUAAACAUCUUUCAUCUGAACUUGAUAUAAUUUAUUGGAUUGCUACAACCAGCACAUCAGCACCUGGAAGUCACCUGCAGGAGCCCCUGGCCAUCGUUGGGCGCAUUCCAGAGCUGCUCUGGCCCGCGCUGCGCGUCUUCCCUGAACACCCUGCGGCCCUCACACAUCGGCGGCAGGUGGAGAGAGGAUGAUCAGAGAACUGCAAGCUCGGGGUUUGCUUGAGUCACUCAUCAACCUUCACAUCACAGUACUGUGAAACCACCUGAGAGAUCACGAAGUGCUGAGAGGCGCAUGCCCUGUCCCAGCCCUGUGACCUCCCCUCUGCCCUCGGAGCGAGGGCACCAGCCCUUCGUCCCACCCACCUGUGCCUUGUUACUAAAGGCCGCCAGGAAACCAGGCCUGACUGCAACUGGAAAAGUACCUGGAAUCGAACUCACGACCUCGCGCUUGCCAGACCCAUUCGUCCUGGACAUGGAGCCACACUGGAUGUGUGCCGUAGCCUCUGGCUUCCUUCACUCAGUGUGAGUCUCGGUUCACCCACAGAGCCCCGUGGAGCUGCGCUGCACAGCCAUCUGAAGCUGAGCGCUACCACCCUGCGUGACGACUGCCCUGGGUGCAUCCGUUGAUAGGAUCUUGCUAAGUUACUAAGUUGCCCAGGCUGGGCUCAAACUUGUGCAGUGUCUUUUUUUCAAAUGAGAGGAAUCUGCAUGUGUCACUGCUGUCAGGUGCGUAAUCACGGCCAAAUAUCCUGGGAAUGUGACCCCGUCUCUCCCGGGAUGAUUUGGAUGACAGGCUGUGCAUGUUACUGCACACUCCCUGCAUGCCAGACUCCUCUAUACCCUAGGGCAGCGUCUGUGAACAAGCAGAAGCCUCCAGCCGCAGCCACUCCUACUCUGUGUCCCCCUCAGCACUCUGCUCCCCUCCCCUGCCUUGGUCAGGUCCCUGGCAUCACAGACGUCUUCUGACGCAUCACCUGCCUCCACUUUUGCUCCCUUUAGCUCAUCCAGACAGCAGCAUGGCCUAUCUAAAGCCCCAGCUGACACAGCACGUCUCCCUGCUUCCUUAACCCCCAAAGCAGGGCCUCGUUACCAUGAGCUGAAGCCGGCACUCACUGGGCCCACCGGCCAGGAGAGAUGCAGCCCCUUCUUACUUCUCCAGAGAAACGAGAGCCCAGCAGCUCCUGAAUGUGAUCCCCACCUGCAUGGAGCAACCUUUAGCUCUUCACCAACUCCUGGCGGUGUCAUGGCUCCAGGAAUCCCUUUCCUUUCAAGUAUCCAACUGCACAUCCUGGGCCUGCGAGCAGCAGACACUGGGAUUGGGUGGUAAGAACGUGGACAGAAUUCCUUCUCACUGCCUUUCUUCCAGGGCCAGCAAUUAGUCCGUCAAGGCUACCUGCCUCUGGAAACAUCCAUGAACUGACACGUUCCCUCUGGGCUUGGACCAUUGCAGGAAGAAGUGACAGAGAGGCAGAUGAGCCCUUGUGAUCGGGGAGCAGCUGGAGCCGGGCUCGGGUUCUGCCUCAGCCUGGGACAAACAGAUUUUAGCAAGCUGUGCGGCUCAUCUGCAGACCACAUGUGGGGGAGCAGGGCAUGGAGGAGCGGUUCGUGUGCACAGGGUGCAGCACACUCCUUGGUCCCCUCAGGAAGCUCCUGCAAAGCUCACACUUGAUUUUACCGCUGCCUGAGGGUGUUACUAGUAACCUUCCCAGGGGCUUUGCCACGUGGUGUUACGGUUUGUACACACACGCCUUCUCCUCGAGUCUAGAGAAAGCAGUAACUAUUUACUGUUAACUCUGGAAUCCCUCCUUCUUCGCACUUACCUGAAAAUAAAUGAUUGGCCUUUC